rnacentral:rRNA from 1 species
CCUACGGGAGGCUGCAGUGGGGAAUAUUGCACAAUGGGGGAAACCCUGAUGCAGCGACGCCGCGUGAGUGAAGAAGUAAUUCGUUAUGUAAAGCUCUAUCAGCAGGGAAGAAAAUGACGGUACCUGAGUAAGAAGCCCCGGCUAACUACGUGCCAGCAGCCGCGGUAAUACGUAGGGGGCAAGCGUUCUCCGGAUUUACUGGGUGUAAAGGGAGCGUAGACGGCAAUGCAAGUCUGGAGUGAAAGGCGGGGGACCAACCCCCGGACUGCUCUGGAAACUGUACGGCUGGAGUGCAGUAGAGGUAAGGGGAAUUCCUAGUGUAGCAGUGAAAUGCGUAGAUAUUAGGAGGAACACCAGUGGCGAAGGCGACUUACUGGACUGUAACUGACGUUGAGGCUCGAAAGCGUGGGGAGCAAACAGGAUUAGAUACCCCUGUAGUC